CACGUAGGGUGCGAGCGUUGUCCGGAAUUAUUGGGCGUAAAGAGCUCGUAGGCGGUGUGUCGCGUCGGCCGUGAAAACCUGCAGCUUAACCGUGGGCUUGCAGCCGAUACGGGCAGGCUAGAGUUCGGUAGGGGAGACUGGAAUUCCUGGUGUAGCGGUGAAAUGCGCAGAUAUCAGGAGGAACACCGGUGGCGAAGGCGGGUCUCUGGGCCACUACUGACGCUGAGGAGCGAAAGCGUGGGGAGCAAACAGG
rnacentral:rRNA from 1 species